GCGAAUUGAGAAGUAUACCGUAACGAAUCAAAGAACGAGGCAAUUUAAAUUCAAUAUUUUAUUCGAAAAUUUCGUUUCUGGUAAGCUACUAGACUUUGUUGCCUUCUACAACAAAUCCACGUCACUAUGUCAGAUUAUCCUCAACAAGCAGAUGUGGGAUAAGCUUCUUUUCAAAUGACGGACCUAACGGAGAAUCGAUGUGCCUUCAGGGACCAGAUUGUUUUAUGGUAAGUUAAAAACUAAGCAACAACUCGGGUCGUAAACCAAAUUUUCGCCAUUUCUCACUUCUACAGGCGAAAUCGUUUUUCAGAAGUUUAAACAAGAUUUGCUCCCUUUUUGGCAGAAACGUUGAAAAAGUUCGCAAGUUACUUCCGCGAAACUAACAUUCCAGGUUGUGAGUGCUAUAAACGUUUAAAUAUAAAGACGAAGCGCAAUUUUCACCUCCGCCGAGUUCUGUAAUGAUUUUUAACUCGAAACCGAGCCAGUGUUUUCUGAUGUUUUGGUUUUAUUUUAGUGUGAUUAUAUUCGGUUCAGCGAAUUAGGCCCACCGCAAUUUCUCAAGUAUUUUAUUCUCAU